UAGGGAAUCUUCGGCAAUGGACGAAAGUCUGACCGAGCAACGCCGCGUGAGUGAAGAAGGUUUUCGGAUCGUAAAACUCUGUUGUUAGAGAAGAACAAGGACGUUAGUAACUGAACGUCCCCUGACGGUAUCUAACCAGAAAGCCACGGCUAACUACGUGCCAGCAGCCGCGGUAAUACGUAGGUGGCAAGCGUUGUCCGGAUUUAUUGGGCGUAAAGCGAGCGCAGGCGGUUUAUUAAGUCUGAGGUGAAAACCCCCGGCUCAACCGGGGAAGGUCAUUGGAAACUGGGAGACUUGAGUGCAGAAGAGGAGAGUGGAAUUCCAUGUGUAGCGGUGAAAUUCGUAGAUAUAUGGAGGAACACCAGUGGCGAAGGCGGCUCUCUGGUCUGUAACUGACGCUGAGGCUCGAAAGCGUGGGGAGCAAACAGG
rnacentral:rRNA from 1 species